rnacentral:rRNA from 1 species
AGGAUUAACGCUGGCGGCGUGCCUAGCACAUGCAAGUCGAACGAGGUAGCAAUACCUAGUGGCAGACGGGUGAGUAACGCGUGGUCAACCUACCGUUGAGUGGGGGAUAACUAGCCGAAAGGUUAGCUAAUACCGCAUACGAGUCUCGGGGGCAUCCCUGGGCCUUAAAAGGAGCAAUCCGCUCGAUGACGGGACCGCGUCCCAUUAGCUAGAUGGUGGGGUAAUGGCCUACCAUGGCUCCGAUGGGUAGCUGGUUUGAGAGAGCGACCAGCCACACUGGGACUGAGAAACGGCCCAGACUCCUACGGGAGGCAGCAGUGAGGAAUUUUCCGCAAUGGGCGAAAGCCUGACGGAGCGACGCCGCGUGUGGGAAGAAGGCCUUCGGGUCGUAAACCACUGUCGAAGGGGACGAUAAUGACGGUACCCUUGGAGGAAGCCCCGGCUAACUACGCGCCAGCAGCCGC